GCAUAGGGGACAUAGAAUUGAGCACUGUUGGGAGGGAAAGUCCUUUCCCUGGUCUUAUGUUUUUGUGUUGAAGGACCUCCAUUGAAAUACAACUCUUGGCCUGUAGUCUCACUCCUCACACACUCCUUCCAGCAGAGAAAUCAAUUACCUAAUGGCGAGGUGGUGACGGGGUGCUAAUUGGGUAGAACAACUCUAUCAAAGGACCGUAAACUUCCCAUUUUCCUCCCUAGAGACAGCUCCAGACUUUCCUUUGGGUGGAGAGGGAGGCUUUGGAUGUGUAUUCGGACAGAGGAGAGAGUUGGCAGUCACGGAGUAUUAAUAGGAUCUUUGGUUCACAAACCUAAUGUCAUUUUCUCCAAUUAGUUUAUCAAUAAUAAAGCUGACAGUUUAACCUCUGUCUGUCUACUGAUCUGUGUUUUAUUUUUCAACUGCUUCUGAACUCAGGAGUAGAAGAAAUAGGCAACUUAUACUGAAUGCCUAAAAUUUUUAAGAGGCAUACAUGUGUAGUAUUUUAGAUUUGUGGCUUUUUUUUUUUUUUUUUUUUUUUUUUUUGGUGAAAGUAAAGUGGGGCAUGAGCCACCACACUGGGCCUAUACUUCUCUUAAUUCAGUCUAAGAUGAUACUGACAUUUAUUUGAAGUUAAGUCACAUUGUUAUGUCUAUAAACUUAGCAUAAAUGAAAACUCUGAACUAAGAUUUUUCGAUCUGGUUUGGAAGUGAAGGUUAGAGCAGUCAAGGAUAUGGAAGAUACAUGAGCUGAGGGUUAAACAGAUCUGGAUUAUGCACAAGAGGGUCAAAUAGCUCUAGGUAAGAAAAAUAAGAACAGAAGGGGACUGAGUCAUUGAUUUUAAUGAAAUAAUGAACGCAUUUUGAACUUCGCUUUUUUUCUCUGUCAUUGACAAUGAAAAUCAGACACGUUACUAUGGGAAAAUAGCUAAUCUUAACUCUUUUUAAUUUCCAAUUUUUCACAUAAACAAAGGUAUACAUGACUUGCAGAAAGGGAAAUAUGAACUUUGAUAUUCAUAUUUUAUUUAUACAGGCAACGUCUGAAAUCUUUCCAUGAUUUGGUGUUGUGGGAGGCUGAAAAACCAUCAUUUGUUCCAACAUAUUGCUCAACUUGUCUUUUCAAAAUUCCCAUGACGAUUGUCUUCUGUGGUUAGGACUGGAUGACAUUUGGAGUUUCUGCCUCAAAAAUGUCAAAAUAGAGUAUACCUAAGCUUUUACAUCUCACCUUGUAAAUACACUACAUCCUGGUUUUACUGUUCUUAAGUAAACAUCUUUCUAGGCACUUA
rnacentral:lncRNA from 1 species